GCUGAUGUAGCUCAGUUGGUAGAGCAGCUCAUUCGUAAUGAGCAGGUCAUAGGUUCAAAUCCUACCAUCAGCUCCA
rnacentral:tRNA from 2 species